rnacentral:rRNA from 1 species
GCACUACAGCGGGUGGAGCUUGCGGUUUAAUUGGAUUCAACGCCGGAAAUCUUACCGGGGCCGACAGCGAUAUGAAGGCCAGGCUAAGGACCUUGCCAGAUUAGCUGAGAGGUGGUGCAUGGCCGUCGUCAGUUCGUACUGUGAAGCAUCCUGUCAAGUCAGGCAACGAGCGAGACCCACGCCCACAGUUGCCAGCGUACUCUCCGGAGUGACGGGUACACUGUGGGGACCGCCGCUGCUAAAGCGGAGGAAGGAAUGGGCAACGGUAGGUCAGUAUGCCCCGAAUGCCCCGGGCUACACGCGAGCUACAAUGACAGGUACAAUGGGUAUCUACCCCGAAAGGGGAUGGAAAUCUCCUAAAGCCAGCCUUAGUUCGGAUCGAGGGCUGUAACUCGCCCUCGUGAAGCUGGAAUCCGUAGUAAUCGCAUAUCAACAGUAUGCGGUGAAUACGUCCCUGCUCCUUGCACACACCGCCCGUCAAACCACCCGAGUAGGGUCUGAAUGAAGGCGUAUCCUUUGAUACGUUUGAAUUCUGGCUUUGCAAGGGGGGUU